CAGUCGAGCGGAGAGAGGUAGCUUGCUACUGAUCUUACGGCGGACGGGUGAGUAAUGCUUAGGAAUCUGCCUAUUAGUGGGGGACAACAUUUCGAAAGGAAUGCUAAUACCGCAUACGUCCUACGGGAGAAAGCAGGGGAUCUUCGGACCUUGCGCUAAUAGAUGAGCCUAAGUCGGAUUAGCUAGUUGGUGGGGUAAAGGCCUACCAAGGCGACGAUCUGUAGCGGGUCUGAGAGGAUGAUCCGCCACACUGGGACUGAGACACGGCCCAGACUCCUACGGGAGGCAGCAGUGGGGAAUAUUGGACAAUGGGCGCAAGCCUGAUCCAGCCAUGCCGCGUGUGUGAAGAAGGCCUUAUGGUUGUAAAGCACUUUAAGCGAGGAGGAGGCUACUUUAGUUAAUACCUAAAGAUAGUGGACGUUACUCGCAGAAUAAGCACCGGCUAACUCUGUGCCAGCAGCCGCGGUAAUACAGAGGGUGCAAGCGUUAAUCGGAUUUACUGGGCGUAAAGCGCGCGUAGGCGGCUAAUUAAGUCAAAUGUGAAAUCCCCGAGCUUAACUUGGGAAUUGCAUUCGAUACUGGUUAGCUAGAGUGUGGGAGAGGAUGGUAGAAUUCCAGUGUAGCGGUGAAAUGCGUAGAGAUCUGGAGGAAUACCGAUGGCGAAGGCAGCCAUCUGGCCUAACACUGACGCU
rnacentral:rRNA from 1 species